GUUAUAACGUUCACCUCACAAUAUUUUCGUAUUGUUUUUCAGUUUCAUAUCAAUUUCGAACACAUGAACAAAUAACACUCUAGAUGCACCACUGUAAUUAUAUUAUUGGUUGUUGUAAUUGAUAAAUGUGGAACUACUACACACUGUCAUAGACUCAUAAUAGCGAUGAAGAACUAUUUUUGUAAUACCGAUGAUGCUUUCAAACAAUAAUGGAAAUUAAACAUUGCAGAUGUAGUCAACUGGUAUCAACGUUAUAGUCGAAAAAUAGAGAUAAUG